CCACUCCUUAUACGCACCUCAUCGUCGAUUCUCCUGCUCGAUUGCAGUCACCAAAGUCGCUCAUCCUCUGUCAUCGCAGUUGCCUGUAUCGUUUCUUUGACCAAGCAUCAGAGGUGCUUCGAGAAGUACUUGAGCCUCCAUUGUUAGUUUGCCUAUCUUCAAACAACCCCGAGAUCAGUGGAAACAGUCGAAAACAGUUUGAUAUUUUGCAUUUAUGGAUUUGUAGCAAUUGUUGCAGCUCAUGUACCAAAAAGAUUGAUCAAGUGAGGUGAUGGACAUAGUUGCUUUGACCCAAUACAUUUUUUAGUAACAGGUGAUUAGGAGUGGUUACUAAUGAUAUAUUUAAGAUGCUUAUAGAGAAGAAGAAUAUGUAUAUGAAGCUUACCGCAUUUGGAGAAGAUGGAAUGUUGCUGAUGGAAAUGAUUUUAUCUACUUUAGGACUUGGAGUUGUGAUGUUUCGAACAUGAGUUUCAAGUGGAGAAGGUAAAGUUCUAAUGACUUCUUCAUUUUGGAUGCACCUGCAUCAAUUUAUUUUGAUAUUAGUGUUUGUAAGAAAUUAUUAUUUGAGUUAGAGUAUUUGAAUUAGAUGGUACCAAUUGUGAAGUUGGGGUUGAGCACAAAAGCUGAUGUUGGUUUUGUUGAUAAUGAUUGUCCUGUAAAAAAUAAAUUAAAAAAAAUAUGUUUUAUAUAUUUUUAAUAUCUAAUAUAAUGUGGUAAGAUUAUAAUUACCGCGAAACGAUGAGACUUUAAGCCUGACUACAAUUAGAGUUGGGAAUGAUUGAGCAAUAGCUUGCAAUAUCUCUCCUUCAUUAGUGACAAACUGACCCCACAAAGUUAAAACUAUUGGCAUUAACCUGCUACAAUUAAGAGAAUUUGUUAGUAUUGAAAUCAAGUUAUACUAAAUACAAGUAUACAAAAUACUUACUCUUCAUUAAUGAGUACAAUUUCUUGUGCAGUUGUGGUUUCAUUUUCUGUUGUGAUUGUUUUUGGUGGCUUAAUUUGAACAACUGCUGCAAGAAUAUCUGUUAUAGAUACAAAAACAAUAAGAGUAUCUAAUGAAAAAGUAAGUUGAUAAUUAUUUAUGUUGAUCUAAAAAAAUUACCUAUGGAUGAUGUUUCAUUGCCAAGAUGGUCAGAGAAUUCAUUGAAUGGUACGAAGUGAUAUGUUGGGGCAUUGUUAUCUUCAUUAUUGUUGUCAACAUCUCGAAUAAUUGUGCUGGCAGUGAUUGUCCAUUGCCAUUGCCAUGAUUGCGGUGUGAUACGGUAUUUUUCUUGUAGCAACUUCACAGCAGCAUUUGAGACAUAGUAUGAGUUAAAAACUUUGAAGGUAUCUUGGAACUGUUCUAUUUGAUCUUCAUAAAGUAUAGCUUGAACUUGUGUACCCUAUACAAGUGGUAUGUAUGACAGAAGUUAAUGAGGCAGUGGAUUAUGUAAUUAUGAAUUAAAUGAGAAUUGUUAUUGUUAAGAACCUAAAAAAUGAAUAUAGUAUAUAUUUUAAAAUAAGAUUUUCAAAGUGUAACAUCUGCAUCAGCCAAAAUGAGCCUUUGAUAUCCUGUUGAGCCUGUUUUUGGGAUUUGUGGAUUCCACUUUUCCAAAACACGAAUCUUUGCUGUCCAUUGUUUAGUUGUGCUAGUUAUUUUUUUGAUAGGUGUUAUUUCUUCAUUCAUCCUGCAAAAUUUGUUGUAAGAAACAAUUUAACAAGAAUUUAAUACAAGGAUAAUAGAUAAUUAUAAUAAAUACAAAUAAAAUUAAAAUUACAUUACAUAAGAGGGAAUUUACCAAAAAUUUACAACAAAAAAAUAAAUUAUAUACAGCCUGCAAGUGUCAGUAGUUCUUCAUAAACAACAUUUUUUGUGGUAUUGUUAUCCAAAGCAUGUUGAUUUGUUGGCGGAAUGAGAACUUUAACAUCUGCAGCAGUUGUAGCUCGUGAUAGAGCAACAUAAAGUCGUCCAUGGAAGAAUACUGGCUCUCGUAGGUAAAGACUUACUUUUUGUAAUGUUUGGCCUUGUGCUUUAUUUAUUGUCAUGGCAAAACAUAACUUUACUGGGAAUUGUGUUAUAGUAAACUGAACUGGGUAUUUUUGAUGAUUUGAGGGUUGCAAUGGUAUUCAUGGUAUGAAAACCAUUUGUCAUUUCCGAUCCCUAACAGCAAUUUCAGCACAAAUGAUGAAAUCUUUGAGAUCUCGACAAAUAAGUCGCGUUCCAUUGCACAAGCCUAUUGAAGGAUCUAUGUUUCUUAAAGUCAUGAUCGGACUAUUGAUUUUCAAUUCUAAAUGAUGAGGUGGGAGACCAUUUGGUUCAAGAGAAUUCAAGAAGUCUUCAUAUUGUCCUUGAUCAUUUGGAUCGAUUGUCUUGUCGAUGCUUCUAUAUAAUCUAUCCUUUGUUGGGAAUUGU